AUUAACGUAUUUAUUAAUGUUGAUUUUAGAGUAAAAGUUACCCCAAGAUAUUGAUUCUUAUGUAUAGAUUUAAAAUAACAAAUCAUCACCCAUAUUUCUGACUGUUGUUAUUUAAGAUAUGUGUAAAUAUGUACACACAUAUAUAAAUGCAUAUAUAAACAUGACUAGGAACUCGCCUAAAAAUCCAAAUUCUGCACACUUUAGGCUUGAAGAAAAUUCAAAAAGUUUGCCUACUUAUUUGUUU
ensembl:ncRNA lncRNA:CR45339 long non-coding RNA:CR45339